rnacentral:rRNA from 1 species
GAUGAACGCUGGCGGCGUGCCUAAUACAUGCAAGUCGAGCGAACAGACGAGGAGCUUGCUCCUCUGACGUUAGCGGCGGACGGGUGAGUAACACGUGGGUAACCUACCUAUAAGACUGGGAUAACUUCGGGAAACCGGAGCUAAUACCGGAUAAUAUAUUGAACCGCAUGGUUCAAUAGUGAAAGACGGUUUUGCUGUCACUUAUAGAUGGAUCCGCGCCGCAUUAGCUAGUUGGUAAGGUAACGGCUUACCAAGGCGACGAUGCGUAGCCGACCUGAGAGGGUGAUCGGCCACACUGGAACUGAGACACGGUCCAGACUCCUACGGGAGGCAGCAGUAGGGAAUCUUCCGCAAUGGGCGAAAGCCUGACGGAGCAACGCCGCGUGAGUGAUGAAGGUCUUCGGAUCGUAAAACUCUGUUAUUAGGGAAGAACAAAUGUGUAAGUAACUAUGCACGUCUUGACGGUACCUAAUCAGAAAGCCACGGCUAACUACGUG